UACGUAGGGUGCGAGCGUUAAUCGGAAUUACUGGGCGUAAAGUGUGCGCAGGUGGCCGCGCAUGUCGAGUGUGAAAAUCCCCGGGCUUAACUUGGGAAUUGCGCUCGAAACUACGUGGCCCGAGUGUGGCAGAGGAAGGUGGAAUUCCAGGUGGUAGCGGUGAAAUGCGUAGAGAUCUGGAGGAACACCGAUGGCGAAGGCAGCCUUCUGGGC
rnacentral:rRNA from 1 species